GAUGAACGCUGGCGGCGUGCCUAAUACAUGCAAGUCGAGCGAACAGACGAGGAGCUUGCUCCUCUGACGUUAGCGGCGGACGGGUGAGUAACACGUGGAUAACCUACCUAUAAGACUGGGAUAACUUCGGGAAACCGGAGCUAAUACCGGAUAAUAUAUUGAACCGCAUGGUUCAAUAGUGAAAGACGGUUUUGCUGUCACUUAUAGAUGGAUCCGCGCCGCAUUAGCUAGUUGGUAAGGUAACGGCUUACCAAGGCAACGAUGCGUAGCCGACCUGAGAGGGUGAUCGGCCACACGGGAACUGAGACACGGGCCAGACUCCUACGGGAGGCAGCAGUAGGGAAUCUUCCGCAAUGGGCGAAAGCCUGACGGAGCAACGCCGCGUGAGUGAUGAAGGUCUUCGGAUCGUAAAACUCUGUUAUUAGGGAAGAACAAAUGUGUAAGUAACUAUGCACGUCUUGACGGUACCUAAUCAGAAAGCCACGGCUAACUACGUG
rnacentral:rRNA from 1 species